CCUACGGGAGGCAGCAGUGGGGGAUAUUGCACAAUGGGGGGAACCCUGAUGCAGCGACGCCGCGUGGGUGAAGAAGCGCCUCGGCGCGUAAAGCCCUGUCAGCAGGGAAGAAAAUGACGGUACCUGAAGAAGAAGCCCCGGCUAACUACGUGCCAGCAGCCGCGGUAAUACGGAGGGGGCAAGCGUUAUCCGGAUUUACUGGGGGUAAAGGGGGCGCAGACGGAGAUGCAAGACAGGGGUGAAAGCCCGGGGCCCAACCCCGGGACUGCUCUUGGAACUGCGGGGCUGGUGUGCAGGAGGGGCAGGCGGAAUUCCUGGUGUAGCGGUGAAAUGCGGAGAGAUCAGGAGGAACACCGGUGGCGAAGGCGGCCUGCUGGACUGCAACUGACGUUGAGGCCCGAAAGCGUGGGGAGCAAACAGGAUUAGAUACCCGGGUAGUC
rnacentral:rRNA from 1 species